rnacentral:rRNA from 1 species
CCCUUCCUUGUUCCUUUCCGCCUAUAUACCGCCGUCGUCAGCUUACCCUGUGAGGGACUAAUAGUAAGCGAAAUUGGCACAGCCCUAAACGCCAGGUCGAGGUGUAGCGUAUGGAAGGGGAAGAAAUGGGCUACAUUCUCUGCCCACAGAGCAUACGAAUGACAGUGUUGAAACACACGUCUGAAGGAGGAUUUAGCAGUAAGCAGGAAGCAGAGUGUCCUGCUGAAUUUGGCCAUGAAGCGCGCACACACCGCCCGUCACUCUCCCCGAACACACCCACCUAAUCCGCUUAACUAAAACCAUCUUAUAGUAGAGGGGAGGCAAGUCGUAACAUGG